rnacentral:rRNA from 1 species
GGGCCCGCACAAGCAGCGGAGCAUGUGGUUUAAUUCGAAGCAACGCGAAGAACCUUACCAAGGCUUGACAUCCUGCGACCGCCAUAGAGAUAUGGCUUCCCUUCGGGGCGCAGAGACAGGUGGUGCAUGGUUGUCGUCAGCUCGUGUCGUGAGAUGUUGGGUUAAGUCCCGCAACGAGCGCAACCCUUGUCACUAGUUGCCAACAGGUAAUGCUGGGAACUCUAGUGAGACUGCCGUUGACAAAACGGAGGAAGGUGGGGACGACGUCAAAUCAUCAUGCCCCUUAUGUCUUGGGCUACACACGUGCUACAAUGGCCGGUACAAAGGGCAGCGACCCGCGAGGGUGAGCGAAUCUCAAAAAGCCGGUCCCAGUUCGGAUUGUGGGCUGCAACCCGCCCACAUGAAGUCGGAGUUGCUAGUAAUCGCGAAUCAGCAUGUCG